rnacentral:rRNA from 1 species
GCAGACAACAGGGAUUGCCCUAGUAACGGCGAGUGAAGCGGCAACAGCUCAAAUUUGAAAUCUGGCUUCGGCCCGAGUUGUAAUUUGUAGAGGAAGCUUUUGGCGCGGCACCUACUGAGUCCCCUGGAACGGGGCGCCAGAGAGGGUGAGAGCCCCGUAUAGUGGGAUGCCUAGCCUCUGUAAAGCUCCUUCGACGAGUCGAGUAGUUUGGGAAUGCUGCUCAAAAUGGGAGGUAAAUUUCUUCUAAAGCUAAAUAUUGGCCAGAGACCGAUAGCGCACAAGUAGAGUGAUCGAAAGAUGAAAAGCACUUUGAAAAGAGAGUUAAACAGCACGUGAAAUUGUUGAAAGGGAAGCGCUUGUGACCAGACUUGCGCCCGGUUGAUCAUCCGGUGUUCUCACCGGUGCACUCCUCCGGGCUCAGGCCAGCAUCGGUUCUCGCGGGGGGAGAAAGGCCCAGGGAACGUAGCUCUUCCGGGAGUGUUAUAGCCCUGGGUGUAACGCCCUCGCGGGGACCGAGGUUCGCGCAUCUGCAAGGAUGCUGGCGUAAUGGUCAUCAGCGACCCGUCUUGAAACACGGACCAAGGAGUCAAGGUUUUGCGCGAGUGUUUGGGUGUCAAACCCGCACGCGUAAUGAAAGUGAACGUAGGUGAGAGCUUCGGCGCAUCAUCGACCGAUCCUGAUGUAUUCGGAUGGAUUUGAGUAGGAGCG